rnacentral:lncRNA from 1 species
UAUGGUGGCUUCGCCUUCUCCCUUCGAGCCUGACAAACCGUCGUUAUUCUGGGAUUAUUUGCUCAAGAAACGGAGGUGUGCUCUUGCCCUGGGGUUGUCUGAACAAGUCUGUAGCAGCAAGGGAAAAGGCACAUCCAAGUCCGUCUCCUGGAGGAAGGAACCAGGGUGACAGAGAUGGACAGGUGGAGAGAACUGCGUGCAGUGUGGUGACCUGAAGGAAUGCAAGGACGGGGUUGGUCUGCAGUGGUUUUUUCUGCUUGUGCCUGCUGACUCCCAGAGUGCAUCCCUCUGACCCUGCAUAAAGGUGUCAAGUUGGGGUCCUUGCCCUUCAGCCUGGGCUGAGGGGUUCCCAAGGAGUUGGGAACAAAACAGCUGUGGAGAGGAGAGAGGAGUCCUUUUUAUUGAGGCACCAGUUGGUUCCUAGGGAUAGGUUGGCAGGCCUAGUCAGUCUGGUCUGGGUAUCCCUUCUUGGAUUUAGACUUGACAUGACAGGCUGGGGUUGUGGCUCAGAGGUAGAACGCUCGCCUAGCAAGUGCGAGGCCCUGGGUUCCAUUCUCAGCACCACAUAAAAAUUAAUAAAUAAAGAUAUUGUGUCCA